AUGCAGUACUGGUCCCUGGAGGGGGCCGAGGAGAUCCUGGGGAAGAAGGUGCGUGUCGACCGCCUCGACAGCAGGACGCUGGAGCGCGGGCACACGAAAACUUUCGCCUGCUGGCUCUGGACUCGCGACGUCGCCCACAUCCCCACCAAGCACACCUUGUGGGUGUUGCCGCGCGGCGCGGGGCGAGUGGAAGAGAUGCAGGGCUUCUCGCCGCCGGACCGGCGUGUGGCUCCGUCGCCGGGCGCUGUGUCCUACACGAUGCUGAUCCACGUCGACCGGGUGGAAGAUUGGACGCCUCUCUCCCCGCGCUCCUCCCACUCUGGCCAGAGUGGG
rnacentral:rRNA from 1 species